rnacentral:tRNA from 1 species
GCCUCGGUAGCUAAGGUGGUAGAGCAAGGGACUGAAAAUCCCUGUGUCGGUGGUUCGAGUCCGCCCCGAGGCACCA